rnacentral:rRNA from 1 species
UCAAGAUGAGAUCUCACUGGGAACUUGAUUCCCCUGAAGGGCCGUCGAAGACUACGACGUUGAUAGGCUGGGUGUGUAAGCGUUGUGAGGCGUUGAGCUAACCAGUACUAAUUGCCCGUGAGGCUUGACCAUAUAACACCCAAACA